UUCCAAACAUUGUACCUCCUCUAUUAGCAUAUUAUCUUCUGUCAAUAUAUCAUUUUCCCGUUUUUGGACCUCAAAAAUACCAACGUUACACAUUUCCAAAACUUGCAAUGAUGAUAAACUGGAUAUGACUCCCCUUGGAAUCAUAUUUAGCUCGAAAUUACCCACCAAGUUCAGAUAUUUCAGAUUUACCAACAUUUUCAACUCAAUUGGCAAUUGCCUUAUCAGUGUCUUUGACAGAUUAAGAUAUUGCAAUG
rnacentral:misc_RNA from 1 species